GCAUGCAAUACUCAGUUGUAAGUAAAGUAACGACUUGUACAAAAUUAAAAACCUAAGACGCGUCUUAGUUAUCGCUUUAUAUAUAAGUAGUUGUAUGGGAACGACGGAGCCAAACUUGUAUAUCUAUCUGCAAUAUGGUUCACAAGGCUAGCGUUGUUUACAUGAUUCCCAUAAUUAUAUUGCUAUUGUUCUCAUCCAAAGUAGCCUUUGCCAAUGUUUCUGAAAAUCCAAAACACUAUGAUGUAGAGAAGAUAAUCAGUAGGUCGCGUCUGCAAAUGGAAAUUAUUCAGGCAAUGAAAGUAGGUGUACCAAAACCAACUAUGCCAUCUGGAAACGGAAACGCCGACCCCUAAGUAGUAAUUUGGUUUAUUUUUAUGCUAGGAUAAUUUAUAAUAUACUUUUUGUAAUUUCGAAAGUUCUAGCAAGAUGUAAUCUUUUGGAUUAAAGUCGUUUGCAAUUUGUAAUCUUCUUUAUUUUGGGUCUAUGAAAAGAAUCAUAGUUUUAAUUAA